rnacentral:rRNA from 4 species
AAAACUUUCAACAACGGAUCUCUUGGUUCUGGCAUCGAUGAAGAACGCAGCGAAAUGCGAUAAGUAAUGUGAAUUGCAGAAUUCAGUGAAUCAUCGAAUCUUUGAACGCACAUUGCGCCCCCUGGUAUUCCGGGGGGCAUGCCUGUUCGAGCGUCAU